rnacentral:rRNA from 1 species
AUUGAACGCUGGCGGCAGGCCUAACACAUGCAAGUCGGGCGAGAGGCGGACGGGAGAGUAAUGUAUGGGCAUCUGCCUGAUGGCGGGGGAUAACUAAUGGAAACGGUAGCUAAUACCGCAUACCAUCAGAUGAACCCAUAUGGGAUUAGCUAGUAGGGAAGGUAACGGCUUACCUAGGCGACGAUCCCUAGCUGGUCUGAGAGGAUGAUCAGCCACACUGGGACUGAGACACGGCCCAGACUCCUACGGGAGGCAGCAGUGGGGAAUAUUGGACAAUGGGCGCAAGCCUGAUGCAGCCAUGCCGCGUGUAUGAAGAAGGUCUUCGGGUUGUAAAGUACUUUCAGUCGGGAGGCGGUACCGACAGAAGAAGCACCGGCUAACUCCGUGCCAGCAGCCGCGGUAAUUC